ACAUGAAGUUUUUUUGGCAGUGAAGUGAAGAACUGCAAGUUCAGCCAAAAUAGACAAUAAAGCAGAAUGGAGAAACAUGCCAAAUUGCUCGGGCAAUUCAGUCCAGAGGCUCAUUUUCCCUAAAUGAUUCAUACUGGAAAGAAAAGCAUUUCCCUGUCCUUAGAUGAACUUAGUGUGCUUGCCGUUGGCUUUACAAGGAAGAGAUGGGGGAGGGAGGCGGAUGUGUUCACACUCGGUCCCACAAACACACGUGUGUGCACACACACAUAUGACUGCACAGCCAAGACUACAGAUUCUUUGCUCACUGGGGAAUUAGGUAAUACACAUGUAAGUCUCAAACGCAGACGCAUAUAAAUAUGCUACUUUAAAAACAUAUUUUUUACAUAACCAAAUCGAGUCCAUCCUCAUUUCUUUAUAUUUCGACUUUCUCACAAUUUUAGAAACUGUCUUGUACAAUAAUUCUCCAGGCUUUCUGCAGGUCUUUCAAAGUUUUUCUUUGGACAUUGACUGCUAUUUCACUCACUUUCAGUCCAGUCUUUGCACCAGAGCAUUUUCAGACAAAUGUUUCAUUUUUUGUCUGUUUGCUGAGCCACUGAAUACUGACUUAUGAUUAAUUCAAGGGCUGCACGAUUUUGCAUAAAAUGACAAUCACGAUUUUUUGGCUUAGAAUUGAGAUCACGAUUCUCUCACGAUUUUCUUUUCCAGUAUAAAUAUUUAUUGCACUUAUUAACUGCACAUCAACUUCGUAACAGUUGAGACUGAACAUAAAAACAAUAAAUAAACAUAAAAACAACAAAUGUCUCACAUUUUGUCGUUGCCGCAAAAUGUUGUACUGCUUGAAAUUCCGUCUCCACCGUUGCUCGACACUGCGUGUAUAGAGCAGGUGGUGCAACAAUAGAAAAAUAGUUGCGGGACGGCACUGUGUAGCGUUUGUCUAGGGUGUUGAUCAUUUUCCUAAAUCCCUCGUUUGCACAGUGUUGAUGGGAGCCAUAUCUUUGGUCAGGUGAUAAGUGAUAGCCUCCGUAAUUUCUUUGUGCCUGCGGGAGUUCGACGUGUAUAGGGAAGCGCUGUAUAAGGUUCCCGUUAUUGAUGUUUGGGUGGUUGACAGGGACGGAUUUUCUCCUGUCACUUUCUCGUCAUCCCUGACGUGCUCUCCGUUGUUUUUUCCCUGCUAAUUUUAGCAUCACACGGCACAGCUUCUGUAUCACGUGGUAUAAGGCUCCGCCCUUGUCAUUUGUUGAGCAGGAAGAGUGAGCGCUUGUUUUCAUGCAGAUUACGUCCCGGAUCAAAAUGCGGUACAAUCGUCGUCGUCUUUUUUUUUUUUUUUUUUUUUUUUUUUUUUUAAUCGUUGUCAUUUGGAAAUGAGAUCGCACAUAAGUAUGAAUCGAGAUCGCGAUUUUCUAACGAUUAAUCGUGCAGCCCUAAAUUCAAGCAUAAAAACGCACCCAACUAAAAGGAUGAACCCGUAUUGCAUGAACACAUAACAGACGCCAAAGACCCAGUUUUAAAUUGCAUCUUUAGAUAUUUUGUUAUUGGCAACCUGUCAAAAGAAAUAAUAUGUUUAAUUUUAAAAAUUAAACAGUGAUUUAAACAAUAUUUAAUUUGUUUGGUGUAAUGUAUUAGUUACGUCUGCAAACGGGCAGAAAAUAGCAUGUCUACAUCAACAAGGUGAAUCCCAAAGAGCUAUUAGCUGAACAUCUCAGCAUGGUGUGCAGCGUGUCCUUAAAAACAGUGAGGAAAGUGGAGGACAAAAGAACAAGUGGCAGGUCUAAAAAACUAUGUAGAGCAGGUGAACAGUAUGUGAAAGUCAUGUAAUAAAAUAGAACAAAAAAUCUGACAGCUGAUCCCUCCACAAAAGGUAAACAGAGAGAAAAGGCAAACAUAACUAAACCACAGACAUGCAUUUACAACAAUGAAUCCAAAUCUGAAAUUUUCAAUACAAAUUGUGCCUAUAUAGGUAUGAAGGUCAGGAGAGAGGUACAACAAUGAGUACCUACGGCAAUCUGUAAAAAAUGGUGGAGGCUGUAUCAUGGUUUGGGGCUGAAUUUCAAACAUCCUGUCCAAAAGUGAUUAAAUUAUGUUGGUAAAUUACUUAAUUUUUCCCUAUGACAAUGUUGGCAUUGCAGUACACACAUACCUGAACAAAAAACCCCCAAACCAAUCAGUCAUGGACUGGACUCCACAGAGCCAGGAUCUCGACAAUAUUGACGUAGUGUGGGAUCAUCUUGACAGAGAAUGGAACAAAAAGGCAGCCAACAUCCAAAGAAGAGCUUUGGGUGUCCUUCAAGAAGCCUGCAGAACUAUUCUCCUAGACUACUUAAAGAAAUUCCAAGAAAGCUUCCUAAGAGAAUUCAGACUAUGUUAAAGAAUAAAUAUGGUUAUACGUUCAAACAGUGUUUUCUGCUUCCAUCUAUGUUUGCAUGUUUCAAUAAACUGCUGUACAGAACACAAAGAAAUGAGGAAAUGACUUCUGCAUAUUGUUGUAUUUUAUUCAGCUUGAACCAUGACUGCACGACAAACAGCACUUUUUAGACUGUACUUCAGUGUUCAGUGCAGUAGCAGUAGAGUUUAGAAAUGAGAGAAAACUAAAGGCAAGUUUUGUAUCAGUCAGCAGUGUCCUGAGGCUGGUUUAUUGGCCUGUCUGGCUCAGCUGGCUGACAGUGUUCACCUGUUCCUUCUUUCCACUGCAGGAUGGCAGCUAAUAGUCUGCUGCAGCACAACAGGGAUUAGAACCUAAAACUCUUUCGUUAAUAUUUGCUUACUAGGCGUGACACUUUUCUGUGCUAAUUAGCUACUUUUCAAUAAAGAGAGUCAAAAAGACAUGAUGGGAGCAUGCUGAUAACUUGUUGUAUAUGCAUCAAAAUUAGACCAUGCAGUAAGGAAACAUCUAAGCAUUGGGUUACAUGAAAAAUCCAUUAUGCUGCUCAUAAGGAUACUUAUGAAUCUGUUUUGUACAUCAUUAGUGUUAUGCAGCAGAUAUUAAAAAAACAAACAAUAAUCAAUAAUGAACAGAACAGAAUAGAAAUAUCUAAUUGUUAUGAUUUAAAGUUAUCACACUGUUUUUUACUUUGAGACUAAAUCAUGUCUGCAAUGACAUUUUUUGUGACCUUGGCUUUCCAAGUCAGGCUUAAAAUUGAUACUCAGAAUGUAGAGUGCAGCAGCAUUAAGGGACAAACAUAAACAUCUCGCCUGUGACAUAUUUGGACAGCGGUAUGAAGGUUGAAAACGAGAAUAAGCCGGCUGUGUUAUUGCUGACUCGUGCAAAAUUUGGGCAAAUAUGUAACAAAGUGGCUGUUAAUAAGACAAAUUCACUCAGGAUCAGUCGAAUGGCAGAUUUAAAAUAGUAACAAAUCUAUGAGCGACACAGUGGCAGAAAAAUGGCGAUGAGGUCUCUACACAAGGGUGUGACACAAAGCAGGAAUUUAUUUCAGCCCCGAGUCUUUCGAAUUGUUGCUCCAGAUGUUGCCAUUCUGCAAAUGUAAAUAAAGGAAGAAAGCAGCACUUGCCAUUUAAGAUAUAAACUAUGUUAGUUUUCGUUAGUUUUCAGCUGUUUCUGUAAAAAUCCAGCAGUCAGGCAUUAGUGGCAAGUCCUUAUUCAGACAUUAGAUUAAUUCCACUGCUGGUGAAUCACACAACUUUUGUUUUUUUUUUUAGCUUCAUACAAAGGUCACAAGUAACAUCUAGCUAAACCUGAUGUGAAACAAACCAAGAUGAAGAUAAAGCUACAAUGACGAAGCCAAGACUCGUGUUUUUUUUAAACCUCGUGAGUCCUUGUGAACAUACGUGACAUACUUAGAUUUCGAGUGACUGCGUUAUGAACAUAAUUUCCUUAGGGAUUAUUACAGUAUUCUGAUAUGCAUGAAUUUAUUUACUGAUUUAUGACCAAGUAGUCUCCUUAAACUCCCGCAAAUGAUGUUUUAUCCUGUAUAAAUCUCUGUCUCUUUUAUAUGAAAUGCAUUUUAGAAUAUUGUCCCUUGCCAGUACUGUAUCCCUCUCCAUAUUGUCCAAAAAUCACAAAACUAUAACCCUACAUAUGGAGAAUUAUUAUUAUUAUUAAUAUCAUCAUUGUUACACAGAAACCAGACAACUGUUGUGCUGCAUGAACUUCAC
ensembl:lncRNA